AUGCCGUCACGGUCGCCGUCCAUGGUGCGCGUCGUGUCGUCGUCCACGGUGAAGCCGCCGCCGCGCCCGCGCGAGCGCAUCCCGCUCACCUCCUGGGACGCCUCCAUGCUCUCCUCCAACUACAUCCAGAAGGGCCUCCUCUUCCACAGGCCCACCUCAUGCUCCCCGGUCAACGCCGCCGACCACCUCGCCGCCGCGCUCGGCGACGCGCUCGUCCACUACUACCCCAUCGCCGGCCGCUUCGCCACGGAGCAGCACAGGGACGACCGCACCGGCGCCGUCGUCGGAUGCUCCGUCCACGUCGACUGCGACGGCCAGGGCGUGGAGGUCGUGCACGCCGUGGCCGACGGGGUGACCAUGGCGGACGUCAUCCCGCCCGACGCCGACGUGCCGCGCGGCGUGUUGGCGCAGUUCUUCCGGCUCACCGACGCCGUCAACUACGGCGGCCAGGAGCAGCCGCUGUUCGCCGUCCAGGUCACCGACCUCGCCGACGGCGUCUUCGUCGGCUUCGCCUACAACCACGCGCUCUCCGACGGCACCGCCUUCUGGGACUUCGUCAACUACUGGGCCGCCCUCGCGCGCGCCAGGCUCGGCCUCGCCCCCGCGCCACCGGUGGCGAAGCCCUCGUUCCAGCGCUGGUCGCCCGACGGCGGUGCGGCGGGGCCGGCCGUGCUGCCGUGCGCCGACGUAUCGGAGCUCAUCGAGCGGGCGCCCCCGCUGCAGCUGCGCGAGCGGAUGCUGCACUUCUCGGCCGACUCGCUGGCGGCGCUCAAGGAGCGCGCGCGGGAGGAGCUCCUGGCCGCCGGCGACACGGCGGGCGCGGCCGCACUAACCAAGUUCCAGGCGCUCUCCUCGCUCCUCUGGCGCUGCAUCACCCGCGCGCGGCGGCUGGCACCGGAGCAGGAGACGACGUGCCGCGCCGCCAUCAACAACCGCGCGCGCCUCCGGCCGCAGCUCCCGCAGGACUACUUCGGCAACACCAUCUACGCCAUCGGGACCGAGGCAACGCGCGCCGCGGACGUUCUCAACCGCGGGCACGGGUGGGCGGCGGCGGCCGUGGGGCGGGCCGUGGCGGCGCACACGGACGCGUCCAUCAGGGCGCGCGUGGCGGCGUGGACCGCCAGGCCCAUGGUGUACACGCACCGCUUCUUCGACCCCACGGGCACCAUGAUGGGCAGCUCGCCGCGGUUCGACAUGUACGGCUGCGACUUCGGGUGGGGCAGCCCCGUGGCGGCGCGCAGCGGCGUGGCCAACAAGUUCGACGGCAAGACGUCGCUCUACCCCGGCCGCGAGGGCGGCGGCAGCAUCGACGCCGAGCUCACGCUGUCGCCCGAGAACAUGGCGGCCCUCGAAAAGGACGACGAGUUCUGGGCCGCCGUCACCCCAGACGCGCCCGUGCCGGCGCCGGAGAAGAAGGCCACUUGA
rnacentral:rRNA from 1 species